rnacentral:rRNA from 1 species
UACGAAGGGGGCUAGCGUUGCUCGGAAUUACUGGGCGUAAAGGGCGCGUAGGCGGACAGUUAAGUCGGGGGUGAAAGCCCGGGGCUCAACCUCGGAAUUGCCUUCGAUACUGGCUGUCUUGAGUGCGGGAGAGGUGUGUGGAACUCCGAGUGUAGAGGUGAAAUUCGUAGAUAUUCGGAAGAACACCAGUGGCGAAGGCGACACACUGGCCCGUUACUGACGCUGAGGCGCGAAAGCGUGGGGAG